UAUUUUUUUCCCUUGUGAUCUUUUAUGAACUACUGCUCUUUAGGGACAGAGAUCACUCGUGCAAGAGGGAGAGCAAUUGCUUAUUGAUGUAAAUGUAGCAAAUGAAUACAGUAUGAAGGGCACGUAACUGACAGCAUCUUUCUGGAAGAUAUGCAGACACUCUCCUGCUUCACUGGGAAUGUUUGUACAUGUUGCCAGAUACUUGUCCUAAGUGGUGUUUGUUUCCUUUUCAUAAAGAAGACAACAGCUCUGGACGCUGAUAAAACAAAGCUUGGCAGAAUCCCAAGCGCAAAAUCUUGUUCUGGGACUACACUCAGCUUGAUCUCAUUUACCUCACAGGCAUUCAGUCUCCAAAAGCCAGGACCAUACAUCUUCAGGAGAUGAAACUGCAAAAGAAUUUUGAAUAGAUAGAACCUGAGGACGCUUCUGGCACAGCUAGUAAUAAGGGCAUGUUGGCUUUGGAAAAUGAGAAACUCCACAGUCUGGUGCUGGAAGAAUUAGAAGGGUUUGAAACGUGGGAAAAUAAUGGAGAAACAGCUUUGAAAUGGCUAUUCAUCUCCUGCAAAUACACUCACCGGACAACUAGGACAGAUACAAGCUGCGAAGGAAGAUGAAACUGUACCCGAACAACAGGAAUACGUAACUUGCUGGCAGCAUGGGCUGUGUUAUAUGUGGUCUGCCUGUUCCUACCUUACCCAGAGAGUACCAACAGCAAGCUGGACAUGUCCUCAGAUGGCUGCAGAAGUCAGGUUAUGAGAACUUCCUGUGGCAGAUGUUAAUCUCACUGGAGCAGAGGCCAAAUUAUCAGCAGAAAAUCUCAGUGUGUGAAAGAUUUCAUUCACUGGGGUGCCUGACUCAGGAUGGCGCUUCAGCUCACGUGCAAUGAAAUCCAGGCAAUGCCACGUUUCUUCAAUACUGGAUUUACUUGUUUUAUUGGGAGUCAGGAAGAUUUGAGAAGUUGAGAAAUUUCUAAGCAACGUUGAAGUUUUAUUGAGGAAGCUUCUACCAAAAAUAGACUGUGGUUUGCACACUGCUUGUGAACAUUUACUGGAAGUUUGUAUUGCAGUAGGUGGCAAAAUACAACAUGUGACAUGGUUCCUGUCUUCUGUCAGAAUGAUUAUGAGUAACCAGCAAAUUUGGGCAUUUGGAGUUGAAAAGAAGUCAUCUGCUGAAAUUCAAAGAUUAGCCAGAGGCUUUUGGAACAUCAGAUAGCACUGGAUACCGGGACUGAUGAUGAAGUCAUCCUCAGAGGAGCCUGAGGGACUAACUGCUGCUUUGUAAGUUUUUCUGCAGUGUUUCCCUGGUGUCUGAGGAAUCCUGGGGUGCAAGAAAAGAGGUGGGGGACCAUGCAGUUGUCAAGAAACAUCACUUUUUCCAUGCGUAUGUGGAAGUCCUAUUCAAUUUCUUUUUAAUGAAUGAUCUAGGUGCAGGAGUAGGAGGGGGGAGUAGUAGUCAGUAAUAGCACUCUUUAGAUGUACUUUCUUUGUUUCUUUUUUUUUUUUUCUUGCCUGUAUUUCUUGGUUAGCUGAAGGAAAAGUACCAUGAUUCAAAAAUAGUUGUGAAUAUUCCUUAAGACCUCCUUAUACAUUGAUAUUUAAAACAAUAUCAGAAGUAGUGAACAGACUACAGACUUCACCAUAAAAAGGUGCAGUACUUAAAGAAUAACAUGAAUUUAUAUGAAGCCAUAAAGAUAAUAAUAUUGAAGGGUUUGUAAUUCCUCAGUCUCCCAAUGAUUGCUAGUAGUAAUGCAAUCAUUUUGCAAUGCCUUCUAUUUUCAUUACUUAAGUUGUCACAUAAAUAAGGUGUCAAAGUUUUAAUACUUUGCCAACAGUAUUCUCUAAAUUACAGUAAUGUAGUAUACUACUUUGACCUUUUCAAUAUUGUGCGACUUGGUUGGCUGGUCUUUCUAUUUAUGGCCAUGCUGAGUACUGCAAUAUGAGUGAGUGGAUACCAGCUAACAAAAAUACAGAAUACCAGGAAAGUCAAAUGAAGGUACUAUGUGAGAA